CUGCCCCCCUGCCCGCUGACCCCACCGGCCUGGCUGCCGCCGAGACCCGCCGUCCCCGGGAAGGGCGGGACAGGCGCGCCGAGCCCCCCGCCGGCAUCGGGGUCGGGACUCAGGAGGAGCCCCACAGGACUCUGUCAGUCCGGCACACCCUUUCCAGUGAGUCCUACAGUGUCUGCAGCAACGCCGGCCUUUGAUUACACCACACUUCUGCCUGUAAGCUCCUAGAGCACCUGACUCCUGUGUCCAGCAUGGAAGCUGAGAUGAAGGUCCUUAAGUCCUCAGAGGCCAAAUGACUUGCCAGAACCACAAAGCUAAUAAAUGACAGUGUGGGGCUUUGAACCCCAACCUGGCUUACGGCAAAACCUGUGCUUUUAACAAUUACCAGGAGAUUCUGGAAUGCCCUUCCCGCUCCCUGCCAAUUACCUGCUUGUAAAGUCUGCUCAAAACUUGUGUUUUCCACCAAGCCCUCUCUAAAGAACUCCAUUCAGCGUGGAACAGCCCAUCACAGCAUAACCCCUGUCUACUGGUAUUCAGCUUACUACACCGUGUUAAUUUAUCUUAAUAUGUUUAUCUUUGUUUUAUAAGUGUCUUUAAGGCUCCUGUAAAUGGUUUUAGAUUGUCUGUGGGCUUGUGCGAUCACACUGAAACCUCCUCGGGCAGGGCUGUGGGUUCUCUUAGUGGGUGCUUGAUAAAUGGUGUUGAUCUCAUGUCUAAGUGGGGGCCGGACCAGGCUCUGUUGAGUAUCCUGGAAGUCCCACAGAGCCUCACAGGGUGGGGUGAGUCUGGAUUUGCAUGCUGAAUAAGCGUGUUGUGGUAAGCACUGUCUUCACAGGUGCUUCCCCACUGGAGCAUUUGGCCUCUCUCCCCAUGACUUAGGCCAGCAAUGUCAUGACUCUUAAACAACUUA